GAUGAACGCUGGCGGCGUGCUUAACACAUGCAAGUCGAGCGAACGGACGCGAAGCUUUCUUCUCUGAUGUUAGCGGCGGACGGGUGAGUCACACGUAGAUAACCCACCUAUAUGACUUGGAUAACUUCGGGAAACCGGAGCUCAUACCGGAUCAUAUUUUGAACCGCAUGGUUCAAAAGUGAAAGACGGUCUUUCUGUCACUUAUAGAUGGAUCAGCGCUGCAUUAGCUAGUUGGUAAGGUAACGGCUUACCAAGGCAACGAUGCAUAGCCGACCGGAGAGGGUGAUCGGCCGCACUGGAGCUGAGACGCGGACCAUAGUCCUACGAGAGGCAGCAGACGGCUAUGGGAGGCAGCGGGCGAGAGCAUGACGGAACGGCGCCACGUCAGUGACGGAGGCGCUGCGAUCGUGAAACUGUGUUAUGAGUGAAGAACAUCUGUGAGAGGAGCUGAAGAGAUCUUGACGGUACCUAAACAGGAAGCGCCGGCUAACUACGUG
rnacentral:rRNA from 1 species